UGCCUCCCUGGCGCCCACAGAUGGACCUAACUAAGGGGUUCUUGUUGUCUGUAUUGGCAAGACCUGUCUUGGACUGUGUUCCUGCCAUCUAAAUAAACCUUCUGUGUUACUGGCUG